rfam:Spinacia oleracea cultivar SynViroflay scaffold86857.con0005.1, whole genome shotgun sequence.
ACAAAAGAGGCAGGAAGUCUAAAUUCUUGUCGUUUUCGCGGUCAGUCUUGGGAGGAUCAGAUCUUAGGCGCGCUCGUCGCUGCCCCGGCAACGGUUACAGAUCACGCGAAACCUGAAAAACAAGGCUGAAAUGCCUUGUUUUUUUUU